rnacentral:rRNA from 1 species
AUUAUAUUUUAUUUAUUAAAAAUUUUUUUUUAUAUUAUAAGUUAUUAAAAAUAAUUAUUAAAAGGUUUGUUUGAGUAUUUUAUAAAGAAAAAAUAAUUUUAAUUAUAGUUAAAUAGUAUUGUGAAAGAAAAUUGAAAUAAUUUGAAAAAUUAAUAUUUUAAAAGAAAAUUUAAUUUAUUGUACCUUGUGUAUCAGGGUUUAUUAAAUAAAAAUUAUUUAAUAUAAUUUUCUCGAUUUUAAAAGAGUUAAUAUAUUAUAAAAGUUAAUGUGACAAAAUUAUUUUAUAUAAUAUAUUAGAAAUGAAAUGUUAUUCGUUUUUAAAGGUAUCUAGUUCUUUAAGAAAUAAAUUUAAUUUAGAAAUUUUAUAUUAUUUAAUUAAAUAUAUUAAUUAAAUAAUUAUUUAAUUUUAAUAUUUUAUGGGAUAAGCUAUAAAAUAAAUUAUUAAAAAUUAAUAAAUAAUUUAAUAAAUAUAAGCUUAGAAAUAGCUAUUAUUAAUGAAAUUGUUAUAAUUUAUUUUAUUAUAGUAAUUAUUUAUUUAAUUUUAAUUAUGUAUUAAAGUAUUUAUUUUAAUUAUAAAAAUAAAAAAAUAAUGAUAAAAUUAGUAUAUUAUAUUGUAUAAAUAUAAUUAAUUGAUAAGUUUUUAUAAAGAACUCGGCAAAAAUAAUGUUCGCCUGUUUAACAAAAACAUGUCUUUUUGAAUUUUUUUAAAAGUCUAGCCUGCCCACUGAAUAAUUUAAAUGGCCGCAGUAUACUAACUGUGCAAAGGUAGCAUAAUCAUUAGUCUUUUAAUUGAAGGCUGGUAUGAAUGGUUGGACGAGAUAUUAACUGUUUCAUAAAAAUUUAUAGUAGAAUUUUAUUUUUUAGUCAAAAAGCUAAAAUGAAAUUAAAAGACGAGAAGACCCUAUAAAUCUUUAUACAUAGAUUAUUAGAAUUUUGUAGAUUUUUUUUAUUAUAAUAGUUAAUUGUAUUUUAUUGGGGUGAUAUUAAAAUUUAAUUAACUUUUAAUUUUUAAAGUCAUUAAUUUAUGAACAAUUGAUCCGUUAAUAACGAUUAAAAAAAUAAGUUACUUUAGGGAUAACAGCGUAAUUUUUUUGGAGAGUUCAUAUCGAUAAAAAAGAUUGCGACCUCGAUGUUGGAUUAAGAUAUAAUUUUAGGUGUAGCCGCUUAAAUUUUAAGUCUGUUCGACUUUUAAAUUCUUACAUGAUCUGAGUUCAAACCGGCGUAAGCCAGGUUGGUUUCUAUCUUUAAAAAAUAAAAAUAUUUCAGUACGAAAGGACCUAAUAUUUAAUAAAUGAUUAUUUUAAUAUUGAAUAUAAUUAAUUUAUAC